rnacentral:rRNA from 1 species
AAGACCUUGCGCUUUUGGAGCGGCCGAUGCCUGAUUAGCUAGUUGGUGGGGUAAUGGCCUACCAAAGCUUCGAUCAGUAGCUGGUCUGAGAGGACGGCCAGCCACACUGGGACUGAGACACGGCCCAGACUCCUACGGGAGGCAGCAGUGGGGAAUUUUGGACAAUGGGCGCAAGCCUGAUCCAGCCAUGCCGCGUGAGUGAAGAAGGCCUUCGGGUUGUAAAGCUCUUUCAGCCGGGAAGAAAAGGUUGCGAUUAAUAAUCGCAAUUUAUGACGGUACCGGAAGAAGAAGCACCGGCUAACUACGUGCCAGCAGCCGCGGUAAUAUGUAGGGUGCGAGCGUUAAUCGGAAUUACUGGGCGUAAAGGGUGCGCAGGCGGUUUUGUAAGUCAGAUGUGAAAUCCCCGGGCUUAACCUGGGAACU